GGUCUCGUAGUGUAGCGGUUAACACGACUGCCUGUCACGCAUGAGAUCUCGUCUUCUAUUCCCGUCGAGACCGCCA
rnacentral:tRNA from 1 species